ACAGCCAUAUUGCUUUGAAACUCCAGUUCCUGUCUGAUCUCCAAAGUUAAGCAACGUCAAGUCUGGUCAGUAUUUAGAUGGGUGACCUCUUGCAAAUACCAGGUACU